rnacentral:rRNA from 1 species
AUUGAACGCUGGCGGCAUGCCUUACACAUGCAAGUCGAACGGUAACGCGGGGCAACCUGGCGACGAGUGGCGAACGGGUGAGUAAUACAUCGGAACGUGCCCAGUAGUGGGGGAUAGCCCGGCGAAAGCCGGAUUAAUACCGCAUACGACCUACGGGUGAAAGCGGGGGAGUCGCAAGACCUCGCGCUAUUGGAGCGGCCGAUGUCAGAUUAGCUAGUUGGUGGGUAAAAGCCUACCAAGGCGACGAUCUGUAGCUGGUCUGAGAGGACGACCAGCCACACUGGGACUGAGACACGGCCCAGACUCCUACGGGAGGCAGCAGUGGGAAUUUUGGACAAAUGGGGGCGAACCCCUGAUCCAGCCAUGCCGCGUGCGGGAAGAA